rnacentral:rRNA from 1 species
AGUGAACGCUGGCGGUAGGCCUAACACAUGCAAGUCCAACGGCAGCACAGUAAGAGCUUGCUCUUACGGGUGGCGAGUGGCGGACGGGUGAGGAAUACAUCGGAAUCUACUUUUUCGUGGGGGAUAACGUAGGGAAACUUACGCUAAUACCGCAUACGACCUACGGGUGAAAGCAGGGGAUCUUCGGACCUUGCGCGAUUGAAUGAGCCGAUGUCGGAUUAGCUAGUUGGCGGGGUAAAGGCCCACCAAGGCGACGAUCCGUAGCUGGUCUGAGAGGAUGAUCAGCCACACUGGAACUGAGACACGGUCCAGACUCCUACGGGAGGCAGCAGUGGGGAAUAUUGGACAAUGGGCGCAAGCCUGAUCCAGCCAUACCGCGUGGGUGAAGAAGGCCUUCGGGUUGUAAAGCCCUUUUGUUGGGAAAGAAAAGCAGCAGAUUAAUACCCCGCUGUUCUGACGGUACCCAAAGAAUAAGCACCGGCUAACUUCGUG